AUGUGCGCGGCGGAGAGGCCGGGUGGCCACCGAACCUUCCCGCCUGUUCUGCGGUGGGUAGGAGUUUGGAAACUAAUGUUCCUGUGCUAACCUUCGUGUCUCUGUGACAUGACUGUUGAAAGACGGAGAGUGCGGAAUCUUUGGAGUUUUAAGCUUGCCAACUGUGCGGCCUAGCAGAAUCCUGGGAGACGGAAGGACAGCCAAGAGGCUAGGAUUUACCUUUAAGUGUCCCUAGAUUCAACUAGGCAGACUGGGACGGGAGACGCUGUGAAGGUACCAGGGAAGGAACGAGUGAGGUUCCUUUUCCACUUUUUCAUAAACUCAACAGUCAGGUUCAUGACGAAGAUAUAGAUAUUUCUGUAGAUUUUUUCCCCAACAUUCUAAUUAUGCCUCAUGUUUCGUAGAUCCUAGUAACUGCUUGGAUUACUGCCACCUCAGAGGUAGAGAUCUGUUUUUCCGUGGCUGGAAUGCCAAAAAUUUUGUUGUAUUUUAUUAAGAAAGUAGCAAAAGUUUGGAGAUUUGCAAAGUUAAAAAAAAAAAAAGCAUUAUGAACUUAAUCUAGAUGUGAUUUGCUAAGGAACUUAAUAUAUUGAUAUGUUUUUCACAGGGGCGUCUGGGCAUGGCUUUCCCAACCUAGUAACUGCAACUUUUAGCAUCCUACAUGUAGGACUUGGGAAUAUGUGAGACAGCGCCAAGAAUUUAAUCCAGGAGAAUUGACAAGCUUAAAUGAAAUCCAUAUUGCCCACUGAUUUUGUGCAGCUUCAGAUAAGUAAUCUUUCUCCACUUAGCCUUUUGUAACAAUUGAUGUAAUAAAGGUUUGUAGUCUUUGUGUAAUUUAUUAAAGCAUUGUGCCUAAAAUAGAAAAAAAGCAUAGGAACCAU
rnacentral:lncRNA from 10 species